CAGUCGCCGCGGGAAUACGUAGGGUGCAAGCGUUAAUCGGAAUUACUGGGCGUAAAGCGUGCGCAGGCGGUCCGCUAAGACAGAUGUGAAAUCCCCGGGCUCAACCUGGGAACUGCAUUUGUGACUGGCAAGCUAGAGUGUGGCAGAGGGGGGUGGAAUUCCGCGUGUAGCAGUGAAAUGCGUAGAUAUGCGGAGGAACACCGAUGGCGAAGGCAGCCCCCUGGGCCAACACUGACGCUCAUGCACGAAAGCGUGGGGAGCAAACAGGAUUAGAUACCCGAGUAGUCCCUGUCUCUUAUAC
rnacentral:rRNA from 1 species